AAAUUCCUUUUUGUGUGUGUGUAUCUCUAACCACCAUCUCUUCAAGAUUUAGAGUCAAGAUGUGAUUCCUUUACAUUAAUCAGAAGUAAAGACAUGAGCAAGUAUAUAAACUAGUGAAAAUGUUCGUACUGAAUUUGAAUUUGAAUUGAAUAUUGAAUUGAAGCGUAUUGAAUUUUGUCAUUACAGGGCUCAUCAUUAGUACGACUGCCUUUCUUUAAUAGAAACAAAGAAUAUUGAAGAGUUAUAGAUUUAGAUAUUAAAGAACUAAAGAUCACAUUAAAGAACACAAAAUGUAGCAGAAAAAAAGUAAGAGAUUUUCCCUGCAUUUGUGCACUGGUUAUGGCCUGUCCUUUCAGAUGAAGAAGUGUUGAUUCCCCUGAAAUUAAAUAUUUUCCAAGAUAGAGCAGGAAAACUACAGAAUUAUUUCAAGCACGUUAAUAUGGAUCAAAUCUCAGCAGGUGGAUUUGCUGAAGAAGAGAAGUGCUGAGGAUGCACUGUGCUGACCCACAUAUCAGUUCCCAACAGACUGUUCCAGCUGGUAUAGUUUAUGCUUAAAGCUAAAACAAAGCCAAUGAUUUUCCUUUUCCAUUACCUUCUGCUGAUGAAAUAGAAAAUAAUAUAAAUAUUGUCAAGUUUUCUUCUAGGAAGAUCUGUAAGCAAGUCUAUACUUAGUUACUUAUUUUUUUGUUUGGUGUGUUCUUCUUUUCUUCCCUUCUUAUUCUGUUUGAUUUCUUGUGUGAAUAGCAAAGACAAAUUUAGAAGUUUAAAAUUCAUUUUGUAUAUUUAUUAAAUUCAUCUACUGUGUUGUGCUUGUUUAAACACAAACAAUAAGCCUUGAACUUCAAUCUAAAAAGGAAAAGAAAAUAUUAGUCCAUUUUUGUUUUGUGCUUUUCACUUUCACAGAUGUUUAAAGCAGUAAAAGAGUAAGAUAUCUUAUAUUUUACCUAAAACUUAAGAGUUUUACCCAUUACCAGGUAUCUAUUCUGAAGCUUUUAAAGUUUGUUUAAAAAGUAUACUAAGAUUAAUGCAAUCGGAAAUUUGAUUUUCAUCUAAUUUGAGAUGCUUUAAAUCUCACAUUGUAAUUGUGUAUUUUGUUUAAUUAAUAACAUUUUGUCAGCUCGGAUCACUGUUAAAAAUAAUAUGAAGAAAAAUGAGAAGAAACAUAUUCCUCUUUAGUAAUCAAGGCUGUUGAAAUGAAAAAGUUUAAUUUUUGC
rnacentral:lncRNA from 1 species